CUUUCCCUCUGGCGGUAGGCCUAACACAUGCAAGUCGAACGGCAGCACAGUAAGAGCUUGCUCUUACGGGUGGCGAGUGGCGGACGGGUGAGGAAUACAUCGGAAUCUACUUUUUCGUGGGGGAUCACGUAGGGAAACUUACGCUAAUACCGCAUACGACCUCCGGGUGAAAGCAGGGGAUCUUCGGACCUUGCGCGAUUGAAUGAGCCGCUGUCGGAUUAGCUAGUUGGCGGGGUAAAGGCCCACCAAGGCGACGAUCCGUAGCUGGUCUGGGAGGAUGGUCAGCCACAUUGGAACUGGGACACGGUCCAGACUCCUACGGGAGGCAGCAGUGGGGAAUAUUGGACAAUGGGCGCAAGCCUGAUCCAGCCAUACCGAGUGGGUGAAGAAGGCCUUCGGGGUGUAAAGCCCUUUUGUUGGGAAAGAAAAGCAGCAGGUUAAUACCCCGCUGCUCUGACGGUACCCAAAGAAUAAGCACCGGCUAACUUCGUG
rnacentral:rRNA from 1 species